ACUUAGGAUUUCUAUACAUUGACACCCUCACUGGAACCCAUCCUUUGUUUUACUUGUCCCUUUGCAGGUUUGUAAGCCUCGGAGUGCCAUCCAGGAAACAUUCUCUUCAAAAGCUUCACAUUUAAAACAUUCCCACAUUAACACCUGCGUGCACACACACACACACACACACACACACAGAGAUGCCCUCUCUCUCCACACAGUCCCUUACAGAAGUAACAGAUGUUUGUAAAAAAAGAAAACACAGAAGUUUGCUGUCUUAUGAAAACAUCCCCUAAGAGAUAACUUGGUCUCUUGUCCUGCCUAUGAAAUUCUCUUCAGUCAUGGCCAGUCUGCGCCUCAUGCCACCACUCACUGAAAGGCUUCAAUAAGAAUAUUCAGGCCAGAAGAGGUCUUAGCCAUGACUCUGUGAUUCUAACUUUUCUCUAAAGUAUAGCACAGCUCUGGAUAAUGAAAUCAUCACUCAGAAUUCAAUAACUGUUUCAGCUUGCAACAGCAGUGUUAUUGCUACUGAUUUUUGGUUUUGUUUCCUCAGACUCUGAAUUAUGAUUCAGCACAACCACUACAUCACUCAGACAAACAAAAAGGUUGUAUGCAAGGGAUCACUGAAAAAGGACACUGGACUAUGUGGUGUAUCCUUUCAGGAAAUAUAUGGAACCACAAAGAAAAACACCUGCAACAUCCCAACUUUCUGGUAAAUCAGCUUCUGUAGCACUCUAAACCUAAAAUGAACAGCAGGAUUAAAAUAUUUCAGUAGUAAAAGGUAUUAAUUUCUAGUUAUCCACAUUACCAAUGUGCCACCAUAAGAUUGAUCUUUCUUGCUCAUUCAUCUUUACUUACAGCAUUUAAAGCAUCAAAACUGAUCCUUACAAAAAAUAAUAUUAAUUACUUAAUUUAUAAAAGAUUAUGGAUAAACUGCUGUUACACUGUCCUUGGUACCCACAGAGUCUUCCAGCCUUUGUGUAGGCUGUAUGACAGCUACUUAUAUUCAAGGAAUUAUUUCUACAUCUUGGUGCUUUUGAAGGGUUGUGGAUUAUUUACUGAAAUAAUGUGGUGCUUUUAUUCCAAAGAUACAUUUACGCCUUACAAGCUUUAAUUACGUUUCAAACCCAUACUUUGAGGUGAGAUAUUUAUAUUUUAGAUAGAAGAUUCAAGGUGUGGAGGUAAGAUAAUUUACUCCAAGCCUUAUCAUCAAUCAGUGCCAAUCUGGAUGAACACCUUACAGUCCUGACCCCCCUCUUGUAAUGCUUUUUUAACCAAGAGUACAGGCAGGUUACAGGUUCCCAAUUCCUAGGCAGAAGUGUGAAAUGCAAUUUACACAUUUUCUGUGCAAGUGCCGAAAGCCGUUUAUGUCUGAGAAACUCAGCUCAAAAAAACAAUGCAAGAAGACCUGUGCAUCUCUUUCAUGAAGGUUUGACUUUUCACAAAAUGUUCCCAGUGAAACACAAAGAGUCUGAAAUGACAAAAUCAUUAUUCACCUUUCAACUUCCACCACUGCUAUGUUUUCUACUCUGCUCUCAGAUAACUAAAACCCAGGAAACACUUUCAUUGGAGUAGAGUCAAAGUGUGUACUGAGUAUUUGCCCCUAAUCUGCUUCAUGAAUGGAGAAAUUAUUUCUGGAUCUUAUGCUGCUCUGGUGGAAUUUCACAACCUGAGUAGACUCAACCAGCUGAGUCUCCACUGGCUAACUCUGGAGUGAAGCAAUGCAUCCAAUGUCAAAAAUCAAUACUACGCCUCUGAAAUUCUCCAAGGGGGAAAAAAUAUCUUCCUUUUGUAGUGAACUUUCAUGCUAUAGUUUAACAGACAAUAAGGUGAAUGACAUGUAGGAGAACACACCAUAAUCUGAAUCCAUCAAGGCACUAUGUUCACAUAGUGUUAAAAGGAUCCAACAGAAGCCCUUCAAAAAUCCAGUGUUGUUUUGUAGCCUGUACUCAGGGUUUGUAGAUGGAAAGUAAGUAGAGGGCUACAUGAUCACUCCACAGCCAGUGCAGGACUAUUUUAAUCCAGAGAAUGCUCUUGGGUGCACAUUAGCUGAAUAGAUUAAUCCAACUAUGGACUUCUUUCAUCACAUGUCUCAACAGACUGGAUCCCUGAUCUCUUACUUGCAGGGGUGUGCAGGUGAAGCAAGCCCUGUUCUGGCUGAGAUAGCCACCUCAUCCAAGAUCCUCACAACGGUGUCAGAAAAACUGUGUCAGACUAGGUCCUUCCCUGAAGAUUUGAUUGUCAAACAAACAAUGUAGCAAUUUGGUAAAACUGAAAUGCAAAAGAAGGAGGAAGUAAUGGAUAGUUACCAGACACACUGACACCCCAAAAGCUCACUAGAAAAGGAAACUAACUUGGUUAAAUGUUGGCAUGUGCAAGUUAAAUGAAGCAUAAGCAAGGACUGAGACUUGUUGUCAAUCAAGAAAAUGAACUGGUAAAAAACAUGUUCUUUGUGUGCUCUAGGAAACAAACAUACACUUCAUUAAACUGUCUAGCUCAAGGUAGCCGAUACUUAGCAAGGAAGAAUGAAUAGUAUUUACUGAGAAAUGAAUUUUAAAGAAGUGGAAUGUGUGAGUGUAUCCUGCAGGAAUAGACUGGUUCUUUGCCUCUUCUAUCAUCAUACAGCACAUGCACUGAUCUCCAGGCUCACUCCCCUGACCCAACUUUUCUGUAGCACAGAAGAAAUCAUUAUAGACAAGAGGUACUGAGUUUUGGUUAAUAUCUGUCAGCUCCAGCUCUUUUCUGCCAAGCUUUCUUUCAGUACAGUGUUUAGCAAAAUUCUUUAGAUCAGGCUACAAGAACUGGAAGUAGGAAAUUGUGGAUGAUCUAUAGUGGAUGGGACAUCAGAAGUUGCCAAAAGCGAAUGUUUUCUGCCAAAUGUGUAACUUUAUUCAGCUGUCAUAUCCCAGGCACAAAUUUGAUGACAUAUGCCCAACUUGUAUUUUACAGCUCAAGGACAAUUUUAUACCUUCAAAAUUCCAUACUCUGUAGUCCUUACAAACUGUGAAUCUAGGAUGUAUCCAACAAGCCAUUUGUUCUAAACAAAAAUUGAGGUGGGGAAGACAAACAUAUCCUGAUAAUCCUAUCACACUUGUACUUUUUCGAAAAAUAUUAUGAGGAGUACGGAGGAAGAAGUAGAAACUACUUCAUAAAAGUAAGCUUUCUUUCCAAAUUUAUUUCAUCCCUUUAUAAUGGCUUAAUAUUAAACACCAAAGUAAAACAAACCAAACAAAAUCCCAACCAAAAUCCAGCAACAGAAAGUUUGAGCAUUAUGAAAAUGUCUUCUCCUACUUUUUGCUUUAAUACAAAAUUGUCAGUAAAAAUAGUUUUAUGAAACAUUUUACUCUCAAUGAUUUAUAAUUUUCUGAUACUCAAAGUUAGGCUGGAAGCUGUCUCAGUUAUACUAAGUGACUUGUCCAUAAGCAGUACAAAUAGAACAUUACAUCUAUAGAGUUUCAUGUACAAUAAAAAUGUCCCAAGAAAACAGCAUGUUCUAUUUUAUCCUAUUUGGAGAAUUUCUGACUGUCAUUACGGCAAUUUUUGUUUUGGUCUUCAUUCCUGUAUAUGUAUCUUGCUCAUAUACAAUCCACUUGCAUUAGUUUAAAAAGAAAAUUUCAUUGGGGUACAGUGUUAGAAGUAUAGAGGUAAAGCAGAUCUCUUUAGAGAAUUACUUCUCCUCCUACCAAACUUACAGUAUAUGUAUCUAGUCUGGGUUUUAUAUGUUUUGAGAUGAAAAUUAAUAAAGACUUCCAAAUCAGAGAGACACUGGUUUCAACCCUGGAAAACCUAUUUUUUAAGAAGCACUCAGCAAAACUCCAUGCUCUUCUCUCCCUAGAUAACUCUACCACAGCACUUCAGUCUCCUGCAAGGAACCACUAACAAAACCAGUGUUGCUAAGUUUUCUGAAGGCCACCACUUUCUAGCCAACCCAACCAACUGAGUAGUGAUGAGAGUACUGAAACCAGAAGAUGGAUAUCAGAGCUGGAAAGACUCUCAUUUUCCUGAUUUCUACCCAAACCCUUUCUCUGAGCACUGUUUAAUAGCUGUUUGCAGUAUUAAACUUUAGGUUGAGCAAUGUACUUGCAUUUGUGUGCAAUUCACAAAUUAUAUAGCAACGGGUAAAGGACUAUGCAUCAACUUGAAGUUAGGUGUAUCACACUGAGCACAAGUGAGAAGCUUCUUGAAUUAAAUCAGUAUUUCCACGACAAUCCCUCUGACCACACCACUGUUCACUAGCAGUAGCUGCCAUACACUAACACUGUCCCUUCUGUACUCAUCCCUCCAGAAAAUCAAGUGGUCAGAAGUUCAAAAUGACCUCACCAAUUAAGAAGGUGUUGCUACUUACACGCUUCCAGUGACCUGAAUCUCAGGAAUUCAAACACACUGCAAAAGUACCAAAACCUAUCUCCUGUUUUAAUCAUGGCAAAACACCAUGUUUUGGCAAGACUCAAUGACGUGCCCAGGACGUCACACUCUUAGGAGCAGGGAAUACUGUGCUGGAAUAUGACAGCUAGCAAUAUUCACUUUCAAGACAUUGCUGUAUUUCACUGUGGAUUCCUGUAAUACCUUCACUGCAAGCUCUGAGGGACAGGAUGGUUCCUGCAGUAUUUGCACAGCCCAGUACAGUGGGGGUCCAGGCCUCUUCAGUGCUCUGUAUUCAGAUUUCAUUACAAAGGAUCUGCGAAAGCAGGUGCAACAUCACAAUUUGGAAGCAACAGAGAGGGAUGAGCUGACAGCGGAGGAGUGGGAAAGCACAAGGAAUACCUGAGCAAGUACAGAAGAUGACACUUGGUCAUUUCUAUUUGUCAAGAAAGAUUUCAGCAAAGUUUGAGAAAGUGUUGGAAGACAAACUGCUGCAAUUAAGAAGAAAAAAAAAAAAGAAACCAGCAUUUCAUUGAAGCACCAACUUAUUUGCAUUCCUGUCCACUGUCACUUUAAUACAAGCAAAAAUGAUCAGCUGGCUGCUGUUAUUCUUAAAUUGGUUUCUGAAUCCAUCAUGAAAAGUCAGCUGACAGAUGGUAAGUUAUAGAGACAGAACAAAAUAUGAUCCUUUUAUAACUAUAUUCACUUGCUUCACACACAACAGGCUCGGCUGCUAUGGAAAUGCAGGUAUCUAUGACAACAGUAAACAACCCCACAACGGCCACUGAAUAAGCUGAAAAGAACAUCUGCCCCAGCAAAGCGUCCCAGCUGCCCUGGGGCGCAACUUGCUAAUCGCGCAGUGAUGCCGUGUGACAGAGAAAGCCGCCUAUGCCAUGUCCAAAUAAAUGAAGUGUGCAAUUGAAGCAGACAUAAAAACGCACACCCUAGCUGACUGCUGCCUCUGUGCUGCUAAACUGAAUGACUAAUGAGUAUGCAUUUGUUGUUUGGGGUUGGGGGUUUUUUCAGCUUGUCGGUAUUUAUACUAAAUUACAUACAAAAAAAAUUAAUUUACUACUAAUAGCUUCAUGGCACUUUAUUUUGGCUGUUAUGACAGAAAAUUACCAACGUUAAAAAUAUUUGUAUUUUUGAUCUUUAUAUAUUUCAAAUCUAUUCCCAGUAAUGUGAUGUGGUAUAAAGCCCUGUAAUAUAUUAACAAUACAAAUGAUGUAGACAGGAUUUCAAAAUCUGCUUAAGCCAAACAGAAAUUCACUUGACUGCAGAAUUUUAAAAAGGGACUUUUUAUUAGUCUAAGUAUGUACUACUUUUCUGCGAAUAGCUGCAAGCACUCUUCUAUAGGCUACUACUCUAUUAUUUAAGUGCUAAAACAGUAAACAGAGAAACAGUGUAUUUGGUGUCAAACUGAAGCUGAAGCAGCAGCAGCAGACUUAGUAUAAAAGGUGCCUGGGUCUUCUGGACAGGCCAACAUUUUCCAAAGAAAAAGCAGCAUUACCAACUUAUGUUCAUCUUCAAGUCUGAAGAUACCUCAAAAGCAGAAUUCCUACUGCAAUUAUGUAUGCUGAAAAUGCCAUUUCCCAACAGCAUCAUUCCCAAAUAUAUGCCAUGUUUGCAAGACUGGAUCCACACACCACCACAACACCAAGUUGCAAGUGCGUGCUUUCAAACUGAAGAGGAAUAAUCCAUCUACUGUUAAAGAGCAGGACAAAAGAGCAAAGAAGCCUGAGAAAGACAAACCAAAUUCACCAGAAUUCUUCUGUCUUUUUCAUACCAUAAAAUGAAGAGAUUGUUAGAAGUUGAAUUUAGCAUAUCAUAAUUCAUACAGCCAACUUCAAUAUUUAUUUAUUGGCUGUUCCUAAAUUUUGUUUUGCUUUAGUUCAGUGGAUGACACUGUAGUAUAAAGCGAAUUUUGCUGCUGAAAGAAUAAAAGGACACUACCAGGAAAAGCACAUUUCCUGAUGACUUUGGGUUUUGUUUGUGUAAUAAACUCUGUGAUUUGAGAUAAAAUUGAUGCAACCAGUUUCUGUUAAAAGGUGCAUUCUUAGACCUUGGACCACUAACGAUACCACAGUGUUUCUGCAAUGAUGUAAGACAUGGACACGAGCUGCUCACAACACAGGGCUGCGUCUGCAGCAGCUGUCUCCCAAAGCAUAGCCAUGUGUCAAGCCCAUCCACACCUGCCAUGUUUCUGUUUCUGCUGGUAUGUUAUUGAGGAAACUAGACAACUAUUCCAUAAUGCCUUGGCAGAGGUAAGAGAGCUCAGAGGCAUGCAUGAAUGGGGGUGUCAGUAGCAUCCAGGAGAAUGUGCUUUUGGUUUUCCUACUGCAAGGUGGAAAGAAAAAGGAGGGACUGGUGCACAAGUGAGACAAGGGCUGAGGGCCAGCUGUCUGAGCCCACACAAAGAGGCAGACUGAAAAGCUGGCACAUUCUUUUGCAUCAUUUUCGUCCACAAUCUGGAGGUGUUCUCAUGAGCAGUGUGCCAAGAAGUAGCCAUGAGGAGCAGCACCAAAGACAUGGGACUGAAAGGCACCUUUGCUGGGACUGGCACCUCUGGCUUUGGCUGCCAGUCUCCACCAUGCCCCCACACUGAUGGCCCUUUCCCCAAUGCCAUCCUUCUGCAGUCUCUUCCACGUGGAUGCUUCCAUUUGUAGCUGUAAGGCCUGACCUUGCUUACUGCUGCAUCCCCACCAGCUGGUAACUGGAUCCUGUCCCUUCUACCUGGCCUGUGUUUGUGACGCUGUGGAUCUCAGAACUGAGAUCUCUGCCCUACCUGAAGUCUGAGAUCAACACAAAGGCUCCUGAAGCUAUUAACAGUGGGUGGUUAGUGAAACAUGAUUGCAGGAACAUCUUUCCCUAGGAAACCAGGUUAAAAAUAACUACAUACAAUGUUUUGGAAUAUAAAAAAUUAAGUAUUUAAAUGAAUGCAUUCUGGCUUCUUUUUUUGCUAAUUCAAGUAAAUGGUGAACUGCCUGCAUACAUGAACUGUUAAUUUUUUGUCAGUGGAAAGCAGAUGUCCAGCCUUCCCUGUGAAAGGGGGAAGUAAGGAACAAUGAAGAAAAGGAAGGAUUGGGGGUGUUGUACAAAGAAGUAUGUCAAAGUCUCAGACAGGCAACACUGGAGACUGGUAAGAAGAUAAUGACAAAAACUGCCAGCAGCCACAUUUCUUCCUAACAAACAACUGCAGUCUAGCUAUACAUUUGGUACUUCACACUACAGUCUGAAGUUUCAGGUCCCUCACACACCAAGGGUCCAUCACAAGGUACCAGAAAGGACCUGGAAGAAGCCUUAAGCACUUACAAAAUCUUAUAAGGAAUGAAAGGCAUCAAGGAGCUGGAUUUCUACUGCAGCUGCAGUACCUCCCCUUGCAGUGGUUUGGCCAGCAAUGCUCUUAAAACACAAAACGUCUUUUCAUGAAGAUGACACCAAUGGUGGCACAAACCUCAUGGCAGUUCUGUUUGCUGCAUUUUAGAUUCAUGGCCCUUGCCAACAGAGUCUUCAACAGUGAACACCAAAUCUGUAAACAGCACCUAGUUCUUUCAGUGAAAAAAUAACCUACAAUAUCACUCUGGAAUUAUAUCUUCUACACAUUGUCAAGAGGUACUUUGAGCCCAACUUUGCUUUGCAUGUUACCUGUAUAGAUCAGAAUCUGUCAUGCACAGACAUGUGAAGUGGCGAAAUGGUAGGCAUGAAAUAUUUAGCAUGAGAUUACAUACAAGCAAUGCAGAGGAUAGCCCUCAGGUAGCAGACUAUUCUAGAAUUCACAAAAAAGAAUUAAAAUCAGUCAUGUACCUGAGAAAGCCAUAUGUGGCAGCUGUUCGCUUUUAUGUUGUGAUCUCUGACCAGAGUACAUUUUAUAUACAGACAAAGUGAUUUAUAGUAAUUUGUAGUAUUUUGAUACUAUUUUAAACUUUGAUCUCAUUUCAUCAAACCCUUCAAAUCCAUCCCCUUCCAAUUAAAUAAAAAUUAGGGUAACAUAGUGCCUUCUUGGUUGUGCAAAAGGAAAUUAUCUUUACAGCCAUACCAUAAGGUUUUAAAGAAAAUAGCAGCUAAAGCAGUUCAAAGCAACCAUGGCCUGAAUUUUCCAGCACAGAUGCCUAGAGAGAGGCACUUAAGAUGCAUAUUUAGGUAUUAAGAAAAUGUUACAGCCAACUGACGUAAAAAAUGUAGUUAGUAAAUAAACUGCACCAUCUGUACACUACAACCAUUGCUGUGUUAUCUCAUCAGGAAGGAAUUUAUAAGAUCUUCUUUUAAUUUAAAGUUACUACAUCUAAAAUAGAACUAUUUUUGUGAAGUACUUCAUUUUACCAUUCAGUAUGCUAGUUUUUGGCCCAUUUUACUUCUGCUUCAGCACCCUCCACUGCUUUUUCCCAUUUAUAUGUUCCUAGUGUAGAUGGAAUGCCUAAAACCUAGUGCCAUUGUACUCAAAAGGCAGAAGUUCAGAUUAUUCCUUGUCUACAAAUCAGUCUUUUAACCCCCUUCCUGCCUCACUUUCUAGCACAACCCAUUCCUACACUUUGUUAUUUGAUUCUUUGAUAUUUUCAAUUUUCAUCAGUAGUAAAAUGGUGCAAAAGCAACACUGUCUUCCAUCUUUACCUUCAGGCUUGUUAAACUGCAACGGGGCAAAGAGCAGCUUGCCCCUGUUUAACUUCUACAUUAACAGACAUGCCUCUUCCCCUCCCACAUCAUGAUGGUUAACCUUGGUAUAAAUCAGGUCAAAACCACAGAGAUUAAUGAGCAGAGUGGAGGCUUUUUUCCCCCAUUUGCUUUUUUUUUUCUUUUUCUUUUUAAUUUAUUUUGCCUAAUAAAUUAAAAUGUUCAAUGUGCAAAGCAGAAAGAAAUACCUGAAGAGAAUUGUAAGUACUGUAACUCUGUCAAACUCCUUCGUGUGGGAUGCCACUGAGUCCACUUCUGAAAUAUUUAAAUAAGGUUGAGAAGUUCUCUUAAAAUAAACGGAAUACUUGUGGAAACGUACAGCAAACCAGUAGGAUUCAGAACCAAGAUCUUGAGAAGAAACAAGAAAUUAUAUUCAUAUCUCAACAACAGUGCACGAAGGACCAAGCAUGAGACUUCUAGAAGUUAUACAAUAGAGGCCAGGAGAAGGCAAUUUCAUUAGUAAUACCAAGUCACAGUGGAGCAUCUCACACUCCUUUAAACAGAUCUAGUAGGAGACACAGAAGAAGAAAGGCACAGGUCUAAAUGAACUAAUAAUUUUUCCUAUUUAAGUUCAUUUCUGGCACUGCCAAGUAAGCUAUGGCACAAGUAUCAUAAGAGGUCUAAUUUUAAAAAAUACAGAACACUUCUCCCAGAAACCUUCUUCCUGCACCUCUAUUUUGUUACAUUUGUAUUGUCAUGAAGCAACACAUACUAUUUCCAUUCCCUAACAAUACCAUUUUAUCAGAUGAAAAACUGUAAACCAAAAAUACAGUUACAAUGUAUUCUUGUUAAAAAUACUAGCUUUAAUAAAAAGAAUGAUAGUAGAAAGCGUUAUAGUAGGUCUUAUACAUGCACUAACUCAAAGAGGUUCAUCUAUCAUUCAGAAAGCUGUGGGAAACCAAAGCAUCUUAACUUUUCAUCUCGGGAGUAAAGAUUGAGAUAAUUUAACUGUUAAAAGACAGACUCACAAUACUGAUAGUCAUUUUACCAGUGCAAAAUAAAAAUAUUUUAAGAGACACAUGACUUAAGAGAUGAGAAAUACAUCUUACACAUAAAGACGAUGCAUUAUAGCAUAUAUAGCUUAAAAGCAGGUUGGA